rnacentral:rRNA from 1 species
CCUACGGGUGGCAGCAGUCGAGAAUCAUUCACAAUGGGGGAAACCCUGAUGGUGCGACGCCGCGUGGGGGAAUGAAGGUCUUCGGAUUGUAAACCCCUGUCAUGUGGGAGCAAAUUAAAAAGAUAGUACCACAAGAGGAAGAGACGGCUAACUCUGUGCCAGCAGCCGCGGUAAUACAGAGGUCUCAAGCGUUGUUCGGAAUCACUGGGCGGAAAGCGUGCGUAGGCUGUUUCGUAAGUCGUGUGUGAAAGGCGCGGGCUCAACCCGCGGACGGCACCUGAUACUGCGAGACUAGAGUAAUGGAGGGGGAACCGGAAUUCUCGGUGUAGCAGUGAAAUGCGUAGAUAUCGAGAGGAACACUCGUGGCGAAGGCGGGUUCCUGGACAUUAACUGACGCUGAGGCACGAAGGCCAGGGGAGCGAAAGGGAUUAGAUACCCGUGUAGUC